rnacentral:rRNA from 1 species
AAUUUGACUCAACACGGGAAAACUUACCAUGUCCAGACAUUGGAAGGAUUGACAGAUUGAAAGCUCUUUCUUGAUUCAAUGGGUGGUGGUGCAUGGCCGUUCUUAGUUGGUGGAGUGAUUUGUCUGGUUAAUUCCGUUAACGAACGAGACCUCAGCCUGCUAAAUAGUUAUCUGUCUUUCUCGAGACUCAUUAACUUCUUAGAGGGGACCCUGUGUGCAACCACAAGUAAGUUCGAGGCAAUAACAGGUCUGUGAUGCCC